CACACAGCCCUGUUUCUUUCCCUGGGAAGCGUAUAGAAGGCAGAACAGAGAAUGGUGAAAUCACUGCUUCAGUGCUGCAGUGUUUCAGGGGUUACAGUUCAUGAGAAUCAAAUGAAGGAAUUGCCGGGAGCUCACAUCUUGAUCUACAACCAGGAGACAGAGAGAGAGAUCAUUUGGAAUUGCAUGAAUCUUUUCAAACCUCAAAGCCAACUGCCAGUAACAUACCCACCUCCUCCAACAAGGCCACACCUCCUAAUUCUUCCCAAACAGUUCCCCCAACUCGGGACCAAGUAUUCAAAUAUGCAGAUCUGCAUCUGUUCCCGCUAGCGACUUGAGCUGAACACUAAUGAAACUCUGCAGACACUUCCACAUUCAACAUCAAGAAGGUUAAUGAAUUAACAGAGAGCUCCUGCUGCCCACCGGCCAGCUUUUAAGUCCUACAGCCUACAUUGCAAAGGAAG
rnacentral:lncRNA from 1 species